rnacentral:rRNA from 1 species
AACGAACGCUGGCGGCAUGCCUAACACAUGCAAGUCGAGCGAGAUCUUCGGGUCUAGUGGCGCACGGGUGCGUAACGCGUGGGAAUCUGCCCUUUGGUUCGGAAUAACAGUUGGAAACGACUGCUAAUACCGGAUGAUGACGAAAGUCCAAAGAUUUAUCGCCAGAGGAUGAGCCCGCGUAGGAUUAGCUAGUUGGUGUGGUAAAGGCGCACCAAGGCGACGAUCCUUAGCUGGUCUGAGAGGAUGAUCAGCCACACAGGGACUGAGACACGGCCCAGACUCCUACGGGAGGCAGCAGUGUGGAAUAUUGGACAAUGGGCGAAAGCCUGAUCCAGCAAUGCCGCGUGAGUGAUGAAGGCCUUAGGGUUGUAAAGCUCUUUUACCCGGGAUGAUAAUGACAGUACCGGGAGAAUAAGCUCCGGCUAACUCCGUGCCAGCCGCCGCCGUAA